UUGAGCAAGCAGACGGAAACGUAGAGGAAGGUAAACACGGGAGCGAGUGAGCGAGCUGUGCGCCCAGAGGGGUUCGGGUAUCUCGAAGGGGUCGGUCCCGUCGACAGAACUGAAAAUGGACACUGUGUUCGCGCCUCGGGUUCGCUGCUACCUGAAGAAUCUUCUAGAACAUACGAUGCAAAAUCUGACAACACCGCACCCGAUCCGCCUGGUCAGCGCUAGCCACGGGGGUCCAAAGGAUGGAACCAAGCAACUUUGCGACAGGUUCAAGAUAUCCCUGCCCUAUGCCGGUCAGACUGUGACAUGGGAAGUAAUUUUUCAAGCACACAAGCCAGAUCUUCCGCCAGAUUUUAUCUUCGACGAUACAUCAUUCCUGCCAAACAUAGAGGAAGUGCCCAGCCUCUGCAACUGGGACUCCGACGACGACGAAGCACUGACAAAUGUAAUCCAGGAGUUGCUGGAGCAGUACCGCAAGCACCAGGUGUCAAUGCUCGACGAUUCACCGAGGCUGCAGUUCGAGUACUCCUCUCUAGUCCACCAGUCCGACAUUGCCGAGUCAAACAUACAGGUGCACCUCAACAAAAAGAAUCCUGGGAGUCCAGUAAGGUUCUGGAUCACGUUGCCCAUCGACUUCUCCAAACUCCCUCCCGUGUUCGCAAAGGAGAACCUCUCCGAAGACAUGGCCGUCCUGCAAGUCACAUUUCAAAGUCCGGAGGGGAGCCGCAUAUUGCCACAGCUAUUUCUGUCACCACGUGUUGAGGCACUUGGUGGCUCUCUGGCGGUGAAACUCCCAGCCUUCAACAAGGACAGCUGCCUCAUGGAUUACGUGCCACAGGUCAAGGAGUUGCUUGAAAAGAAGGUUGAACAGGUGUCAACAUCAUUUGCCAAGCGUAAGGAGUACGUGGCAGCUUUCCUCAACCUCUUCGGCAGGAACCUUUUGGAGUUUGACGCAGAGGGAUUUGCAAGUCUGUCAUUUCUCUUCGAGCAUGAUGACUUCUUUUUCAUCCUAAUCAUUGCCAUCCCGCGGACUUUCCCGCAAGACAAGCCGUCCCUGACGUUUCAAUCGGCGUACCACACCAGCUGUGGAUGGCCCUACAGCAUUACCUGCACGGACUACCCGUACAGUCCAAGGUGGGAGGCAUCCGAGAUGGCUGAUCGAGCAAGGACCUUCGUGAUGGAGUAUGUCCCGAGCUUCCAGACCAGCUCCGUGAAGAACCGCUGAAGUGUCCCACUGCUCCUGUGUUUUGAAAAAACACCUGGUCUUUUAAUUUUUGUACAUACAAGCUGGCUUAUGCGACCUGCAGCUGUCUCUGAACUGCAUGGAUUUGUUGGUGAGGUGGAGCAUGUAUGCUGAAGGAUGCAGAUGAGGUGUUCUCGGUCGUUCUUGUGACUAGCACUGGACGCACCGAAUAUCUGCAUGCCUGGAACUGUGAUGAGACAGCUUGUUAGUAACUGUGCCAAGAAUGAUGUCACCUACUGGCGCCGGCACGCCCGUUGAGGUGUUGCUCGAAAUCUCGCCAAAAGGUUGCGUGCCUAAAAGCAAACAAGUGAGAAUACCAGCCCUGUUCUGUCAAACACUCAGUCCAUCGAAGGGAAAUAUUCUCAUCCUUCCAAGUGCAGGACAAAGCUACAAAGCAAACCCUUACAGGUUUCUCAGAAACAAAGCUUCGCAGUUGAAGCAAAAGUUUGUCCUGUUCUAGGGUUCGAACCCGGGACCACCUUUCUGGGACGGUUGCUGUACUAUCUGAGCUAACGAUGAAUCUAGCAGAUCGCAGCGUGAGGGUGAGUUAAUCAACAUUUCGAAACACAGGAACACUGAAACAAUUCAUUGAAGCAAUCCAUUGCUUGCUGACACUCUUCACACUUUGCAUAUACCGAUAUCAGUGAGCUGCAACAUUCAUCACCAUUGAAUACAUACAAACAACAGAUUGCUGCAAAGCUGGGCAUUGUCACUGGAUGGCUGUAUUCUCAAACAAGGAAAUAACAUCCAUAUAGGAGCCAGUUCAAAAGAGGUAUGUGGCAACGAAACGUUCGUGGUUUGCAUUAUGAAAGGUUUUUAUUACAAAAUCAACUGCAUUAUGGCUGUGCACCACCUUUUUUUAAAAUAGGAGUACAGACCAAGAAAAAGCUUUUUAUUUUCAGCUUGAACUAAGCCAAGUGGGCAGUACGAAAAAUGUGGUACAUGCCAUAAAAACUAAAUACAUAUGCCAGGAUUGAGGUCUCUACAAUUACAACCACAUAGCUGUGGCAGACAGUUGGGCAGGCUGUGCACUAGCAGCGAAUUACAGUAUUCAACCGAGCUGAAGUUGAUCACAACCUAGGGAGACGAGAAACAAUGCAAAAGCUGCAAGCUUGUACCUAAUUAAAACAGUUGAUUUUACGGCUUA